UCCCUAUCCACAUCCUGCAAAAGAGCAUCAUAUGCCAAAAGAGAAUUUAAAAUUGUGGAACCUGUUGAGUUUGUUUUGAGUGAAGACAAGCAGUCAGUUGUCUACAUACCUGUUCUUCAAAUGCUCCAGGUAAUGUUCAACAAAGAGGAAAUCCUGAACAAGGCCCUUCAGGUUAUCAGUGGUGAUGUGCAAGGAUUUAACACAUUCAGGGAUGGUUCAUGUUUCAAAGAUAAUACUUUACUGAUGGAGGAAAAUUUUACCAUUGCUUUGGGUCUCUACAUAGAUGACUUUGAAGUUGCAAAUCCACUCGGAACAUCCAGAAAGAAGCACAAAAUAUGUGCAGUAUAUUGGGUACUUGUAAAUCUUGCACCAAGAUUUCGCUCUUCUCUCAACUCAAUACAGUUGGCUCUUCUUUGCAAGACAAAUACUGUCAAGUCAUGUGGAUACUCAGAAGUUCUCAGGCCACUCCUUCACGAUCUAGUACUUCUAGAAAAGCAAGGCAUAUAUGUGGAGAAACUAGGAUGUAGUGUGAGAGGAACCGUUUUGUUUGUUGCGGCAGAUAAUUUGGCAGCUCAUUCAUUGGGAGGAUUCCAAGAAAGUUUUGUCUCUCAUAAGAUAUGCCGCUUUUGCAUGGCUACAAGGCAGGAAAUACAAGAUAAAGAAGUUAGUUCUGGUCACUUUUGCUUCAGAACAAAACAAGAACAUGACCAGCAGGUGUCUGCAGUUCAGCAAGAUGCCAACAUGGCAAAGCAAUAUGGUGUGAAAAGCGCCUGUCCUCUCAGCGAACAUUUGGAGCAUUUUCAUGUUGUGGGUGGUUUUCCCCCUGAUAUCCUCCAUGAUUUGCUUGAAGGUAUUGUUCCUUCUGAGUUGUGCAUUUGCAUUCAGGACUUGAUUAAAAGAAAAUUCCUUACACUGGAGAUGCUCAAUAGCGCUAUAAAGGAUUUUCCCUAUGCACAUUCAGACAAGACUAACCAGCCCCAGACAAUAUCAAAAACAUUUCAAGCGAGAGGGACCAUUGGAGGAAAUGGUCAUGAAAAUUGGAGCCUGAUCAGACUUAUUCCCCUGUUAAUUGGCCAUUAUAUUCCAGAAGGAGAUGAAACAUGGGAAGUUAUACUGUGCCUGAAAGAUGUGGUUGAGUUAGUCAUGUGUCCGAGGUUUACUGAGGAGAUGCUCCACUAUCUGGAGUUCAAGGUGUCAGAGCAUAGGUCUUUGCUUAAAAAAGCAUUCCCUGACUACAGGCUCAGACCAAAACACCAUUACCUGGAGCACUACCCACAUCUGAUUCAAGUACAUGGACCCCUUGUCGAUGUGUGGACAAUGAGGUUUGAGGGGAAGCACAAAUUUUUCAAGCGAGUCAUUCGUGAAGCCCACAACUUCAGAAAUGUUCCUCUGACUUUAGCUGAUAGACAUCAGAAGAUGAUGGCCUACCACUUAGAGUCUGCUUCAUUUUUUAAACCAGCAUUAGAACUGGAUAAAGUAAAAAGCGUCCUGGUUUCUUCCCUCCCAGACAGUGUGCAGCAAUAUUUGUUGGCAAGAUAUUCAUCUCAAAAGACAGUCCUUGCAGCAACAUCUGUUUUCAUAGAAGGGAUUAAGUAUGCAAGUGACAUGUUAGUAUCUGUUGGAUCAUGUGCAGGCCUUCCAGAGUUCAGGCAGAUUCAUCAGGUUUUGGUUGUGGAAACCAAUGUUAUGUUCAUUUGUAGACAGAUGUUUGCAUGGUAUCAUGAACACCUCAGGUCUUAUGAAGUCUGCAAAAGUAGCUCUAGUCUGCUUGUUACCCAGUUAAAGGACCUCAAUGACAGUGUUCCCCUCAAUGCCUACAGAGUGAAAGGCCAAGUCUUUGUUACUCUGAAACGUUACAUUUUGUGCUGAUGCAUUUUUAUUCUUUCAGAGUCAUGGAGCAGUCUUGGCCAGUGAGAGUAAUGGUUGGUGAAAAUGACAUUCGCAAGGUCAUUUUCCAAGAAAAGCCCAAUGAUGUGGAAGAACUCAUAAGUGAGUUGAAGAAACGGCUCAAUCUGCCAUACGACUUCAUUCUUCACUAUCAAGACCCAGAUUUCAACAAUGCUUUUUGCAACGUCUCGGAUGUCACUGAACUGCCUACAAGACCAACACUGAAGAUUAUCUCGCUUGAAAAUGUUAUCCUCACAUUGUGUCCAAGCAGCCCUUCAUCUUCAGCAUGUAACCUGUCUACAGCAAGUUCUUCUGACACCGACAUUCUUCCACACCCUGAGAACACUUCACGUGACCCAUGGCCUUCUACAUUUGAGGUUCCAUAUUUCUCUGUGGAUAUUGAAUAUAGACUGAGACAGGGAAACCUUAUUUACAUGAGAGAUGGAACACGCAUGUCACUGACACGAGACAUGAAACAUGACAUUUUGCAGAAGCUAGCAGAGGAGAUGUAUAAAUACACAGCUUAUCCCCAAGAUGAACAUUUCACUAUUGUUGCUGAGGCACUGAUUGGCAAACACCCAUGCCUUAAAGAGCCAGGAUCCACCAGGGCUUGCAAUGGCUGGAAGAACAGCCUAAAAUUCAAAAUGGGUAAUCUCCGGGCAAAACUUCGUCAUUGUGGAAUGGCAGAUGUGUCUGUCAACAGUAAUAAAAAAAACAAACAGAACCCAGAUGCAGAGCCAUCAGGAAAAAAUCUUAAGAGACCCAGGAGAAGUGAGACAAACUUCUUACCAAAUUUUCCACAGGGUGAGGAUGGAUUAACACUUGAAAACUCGAGACAGAUCAUGGAAAAUGAAAUGAAGAAAAGGUCCCCAAAUCUACUCUAUGUGAAUCAACUCAUGAGCCAAACGUUCUCAUUGAGACGCAAAGAAAUCGUAGAAGAGCAACCCUCUGUAAAGCAGAUGUUGGAACGCUGGCCAGCUCUUUUUAGGAAACAACAGGUUUUUGCUGAGUUCACCCGAGUAGCAAAUAGGGAUCUAGAGCAAGACUUCUUUGAGUCUUUGGACCGCCACACCCCACGUUUCCUUGAGAUCUUCAAGUCGAAGAAGGGAAUCAUUGGAACUACACUUUCAGAGAUUCUUGGCCAAGUUGAAAAAAGGACUACUGAUAUCAUUGCCAAGAGGACUGCUGUCCUGCGAUGUCUUCCAGUUUUCCUCGGGGAUGAUGGGGGAAACUUCUAUAAAGUCUGUUUUGACUCGGACACCAUGGCAGACUUAAGCCAGGUUCCCGUGGGGAUAUUGACAGUUGUUCCUGAAGCAAGUCAGCAGCCAGAUCCAAACGCUCUACAUCUGGAACCAUCCAGCAUUGGCAUCAUUCUGGAGGGUACAGUUGUUAUGGAUGACAUUGAAAGCCAUGACCAAGCAGUUUGCCUUAUGUUUGGACUAAUCUACGCCCUUCAUCUUGAUUAUCCAAAACCACUCAAAAACACCUUUGACUUCAUUCAGAGAGUGCUGCUCAGUCUCGGUGUAGGGAACCUCAGGCCAAAACUUCAGAGCUUGAAAAAUGCACUUUUGCUGUAGAGGCUCACAGAUGCACACAGCUACAAGUAACAGAUAAAUAUGCUGCAGCAUAAACACUUGGUUUGACUUUUAGCUAAACGAUAUUCAGGUUAUACAGUAAGGUUUGUAAUGACCUACAUGUUUUACUCCACAGUUGGAUGUAUUAUAUAGUGUUAAAAUAUCUGUUGAAUUUUUUACUUAAUGCUACAAGUAACAGAUAAAUAUGGUGCAGCAUAAACACUUGGUUUGACUGUAAGCUAAAGAUAUUUGCAGAAAAAAAAUUCAGGUUGUACAGUAAGGUUUGUAAUGACCUACAUGUUUUACUUCCAAGGUGUAGGUUUUAUAUAGUGUUUAAAUAUUUCUGGGGCAUUUCUUACUUAAAGCUGUGAUAAAAGACAAAUAUGCUAAGACUUGACUGUUAGUUUUUCCAGGUUCUACAGUAAGAUUUGUAGUGACCUACAUGUUUUACUCCGCAGUUGUAUUCUUUUAUAUAUUGUUCUAAUAUCUGGGGUAUUAUUCACUUAAGGUUUAUCAGAAAACCAAACAAAAAAGCUAAGUUUAAAUGACAUCUGUAUUAUCAUAAAGCAAUGUGUCAGCGUGUUUUGACAAUUUUCUGAUUUGUGAGAUUUAAACCCCUAAGUAAGGCAAAGUUAUUACAUUUUAUAUGGCUUUAUGUUAUAAAGCUUGGUCUUUUGUUAAAAUGCUAUGUUAAAAAAUAAACAUUGCUUCUUGUGAACUUA